rnacentral:rRNA from 1 species
UAGCAAGAUUAAACUUAGAUUUAAUGUUCUCGAAACCUAAAGAGCUACCUUGAUGUGGGAGAUAGAUCCUAAAAUGUGAAUGUAGCAAAAUUCUUUUUAAAUUUCAAGGUAGAAAUGAUAUUUUAUUCGUGUUAGGUGAUAGCUAGUUUUGGCAAAAAUAUAUAUAAGUAUAUAAGUUAAGAGGGUUACAAACAAGGAAUAUUGUUAUAAGUAUCUUAGUUUUUCAUUUAUAUAAGGAUAAGCUUGUAUAAUUCCUGUAUAAUAUUUAAUAGUUACUAAAAAAAAUUUAAGCUUGAAAUUGGCUAUGAUUAAAAGUUUGUUUUAAAAUAUUUUUGUUAGUAUUAGUUAUGUUUGACUUAUGCUGAUUAGUUUUUGUACUAUAAGUAAUUGGAUUUAUGCUAAAAUGAGUAUUAGUUUUAAAUAAAUUUAAGGUCAAUUUAAAUUUACUUGAUAAGAUAGUAAUAAAUUUAAAAAGGUUUUAAGGAACUCGGCAAAAAUGUGUUUCGCCUGUUUAGCAAAAACAUGGCUCUUUG